rnacentral:lncRNA from 1 species
GAUGGAAGAUGUUUGAGGACCUCGCCCUUUUGGUCACCACUGGUGGACUUCUCAAAGUUUAUGCCUGUGCAUAUGGUUGUUUGCCAGAAGAGGGCAUCAGAUCCCCUGAAACUGGAGUUACGGAUGGUUGUUAACUUCCAUGUGUGUGCCAAGUCCUCUGGAAGAGCAUCCAGUGCUCUCAACUGCAGAUACAUUUUAAAAGUAGGAACAGAGAUAGAAAAUGAUGUGGAAAGAUAUAGAACCGUGUACUUGGUGCUGAAUAUACCUCAUGGCAGGACCUGACACUCUGAGGAUACACGACUGAGGGCAGCCUAUGCUAGACUAGAGCCUUGAAGAGUCCCCGAUCUCAGACACUGGAGCUUCCUGUAAGAGAAGAUCUGGAUCAAGAAAGGGUCUAACCUUGGGUUGAAUGUUAGGAGGUGAACUCUACAGGAGGAAAAUCUGAGGGCAAAUUUUUAAAAAGAAUUGUAUGUGGGUGUAUUAUCUGCAUGUAUGUCUAUGUAUUAUGUACAUACAGUGCCCACAGAAGCCAGGAGAGAACAUGGAGUUACAAAUAGUUGUGAGCUUCCCAGUGGGGGCUGGGAAUUAAACCAUUGUCCUUUUCAAGAGC